rnacentral:rRNA from 1 species
UACGAAGGGGGCUAGCGUUGUUCGGAAUUACUGGGCGUAAAGCGUAUGCAGGCGGAUCUUUAAGUCAGGGGUGAAAUCCUGAGGCUCAACCUCAGAACUGCCUUUGAUGCUGGAGAUCUUGAGUCCGGGAGAGGUUAGUGGAACUGCGAGUGUAGAGGUGAAAUUCGUAGAUAUUCGCAAGAACACCAGUGGCGAAGGCGGCUAACUGGCCCGGUACUGACGCUGAGAUACGAAAGCGUGGGGAGCAAACAGG